rnacentral:tRNA from 1 species
GGCCUCGUAGCUCAGCUGGUAAAGCAAUACCGGUACUACAGCGAGGGUGAUGACCGUGCGUGGGUUCGAGUCCCGCCGAGGCUA